AUUGAACGCUGGCGGCAGGCUUAACACAUGCAAGUCGAGCGGGGUGAUGGUGCUUGCACUAUCACUUAGCGGCGGACGGGUGAGUAAUGCUUAGGAAUCUGCCUAUUAGUGGGGGACAACAUCUCGAAAGGGAUGCUAAUACCGCAUACGUCCUACGGGAGAAAGCAGGGGAUCACUUGUGACCUUGCGCUAAUAGAUGAGCCUAAGUCGGAUUAGCUAGUUGGUGGGGUAAAGGCCUACCAAGGCGACGAUCUGUAGCGGGUCUGAGAGGAUGAUCGGCCACACUGGGACUGAGACACGGCCCAGACUCCUACGGGAGGCAGCAGUGGGGAAUAUUGGACAAUGGGGGGAAUCCUGAUCCAGCCAUGCCGCUUGUGUGAAGAAGGCCUUAUGGUUGUAAAGCACUUUAAGCGAGGAGGAGGCUCUUUUGGUUAAUACCCAAGAUGAGUGGACGUUACUCGCAGAAUAAGCACCGGCUAACUCUGUGCCAGCCGCCGCCGUAA
rnacentral:rRNA from 1 species